rnacentral:tRNA from 1 species
GGAUUGUGGCUCAGUGGUAGAACACUUGCCUAGCAUGUGCAGGGGCCCUGGGUUCGAUUCUCAGCACCA